rnacentral:tRNA from 1 species
GAGUUUUAAGUUAAGAUAAACUACCAACCUUCAAAGUUGCCAAUAAAAUUAUAUUUUAAACUUUA